rnacentral:rRNA from 1 species
UACGUAGGGGGCAAGCGUUGUCCGGAUUUAUUGGGCGUAAAGAGCGUGUAGGCGGCCAGGUAAGUCUGCUGUGAAAACUCGAGGCUUAACCUCGAGAUGUCGGCGGAAACCAUCUGGCUAGAGUCCGGAAGAGGAGAAUGGAAUUCCCGGUGUAGCGGUGAAAUGCGCAGAUAUCGGGAAGAACACCCGUGGCGAAGGCGGUUCUCUGGGACGGUACUGACGCUGAGACGCGAAAGCGUGGGGAGCGAACAGG